GUUUCCUUAAGGAUCUCUACAUCAUAUAGUGAUCUGAAACAUGUGAAACCAUUUAUGUUGUAUGCAAAAAUUCGGAACACACUGUCUUCGAAAUCUGAAAUGGAACAUAAAAAUAAUAACAUACAUUUAUUGGAUACUUCACUGUGCAUCAGUUUCCAAGCUAAGCACUUGAUACAUGCCAUCUCAUUUAAUCCCCACAAGAAUCCUACAAGGUCAGUACUGUACUGUUAUUAUCGUUUUUCAAUAGAUGAUAAAACGGAGAAUUGCAGAAGUUAGGUAAUUUACCAGAGGUUAGUUAGUGAGUAGCAGAUCCAGGUCAUGAAGGUGGGUCUCUCUGAACAGACCACAUGCUGUUAAGCAUUAUAUUAUAUUGCUGUCAGACAAAGCAAAAGGUCAGUGAGGCUUUAUAUUAUAGGAGCUGUUAUGAGAAGAAUCUGGGACUGCAGUGUCCCCCCAAAUAGAGAGGGAGCCGAGAGACCAAAGAAUGACUCAGACAAGUCCAGGAAGCGAAAUGUGGUGAUUUUAAAGCUGUUAUAGUGGAAGUAUCAGGACAAGCCCAUUACACGGGUACAGCAAGCUUUAUAGUAGAAGAUGACGACCCACUGAGAGAUGGAUUUCUUCUCAAGUGACUUCUUCCAUGAUUUCAAGGGCUUUCUUUUUAAAGUAAUCAUUAUCCUUAAGGACUGUUUUCUCUAAAUUAUAUGAAAACAAAUAAAUUAUACAUAUAAACU
rnacentral:sRNA from 1 species